rnacentral:rRNA from 1 species
AGUGAACGCUGGCGGUAGGCCUAACACAUGCAAGUCGAACGGCAGCACAGUAAGAGCUUGCUCUUACGGGUGGCGAGUGGCGGACGGGUGAGGAAUACAUCGGAAUCUACUUUUUCGUGGGGGAUAACGUAGGGAAACUUACGCUAAUACCGCAUACGACCUACGGGUGAAGGCAGGGGAUCUUCGGACCUUGCGCGAUUGAAUGAGCCGAUGUCGGAUUAGCUAGUUGGCGGGGUAAAGGCCCACCAAGGCGACGAUCCGUAGCUGGUCUGAGAGGAUGAUCAGCCACACUGGAACUGAGACACGGUCCAGACUCCUACGGGAGGCAGCAGUGGGGAAUAUUGGACAAUGGGCGAAAGCCUGAUCCAGCCAUACCGCGUGGGUGAAGAAGGCCUUCGGGUUGUAAAGCCCUUUUGUUGGGAAAGAAAAGCAGCAGGUUAAUACCCCGCGGUUCUGACGGUACCCAAAGAAGAAGCACCGGCUAACUUCGUG